GUAUUAGUAUAUUGCUUAAAUAUUUUGCUGUGUGCAUAUGCUGAUGGAUCACAGCUGUAGCCUUUAGAAGAGGAGUUUGCUUUUGGGCCUUGCAUUAGAUUAUCCCCAUUUAUUCUAUAGUGUUCAUUAAUUUCAAUAAUAUCAAAAAACAAGAUGCAGCCCUAUAGUGCAAAAGAAGUUGUAAAAUUAACUGUAAUGAGGAGAUAUACUCAGAGCUGUUAGUUGGACAAGAAAAAAUAAUGAAAUCCAUCUAAAUAGAUGUUUAAUCUGUUUUCUAAAUGGAUAUAUAUUACUUGAUUUAAGACUUCAUUUUAUUAAUUUUUCAGCUUAAACUUUUAAUUAACAUACUCUAGGUUGGGAGAGCAUCUAAUGGUAUUAAGGCCCCAGUCUUACAAUUUGAUCUGCUGUGGCAGACCUUUAUGACUCUGCAAAAUUUCACAAGUCUCUGGGCUUUGCACAGGUGCAGGUCUCCACCCCUUUGGUUUCAACUGCAAGAUUAGGAUCUGACUUCCAAAGAUUUCUUUUUAAAGAUCAUGAAGGAAUGACCUAAAUUAAAUACUCACUCAAAGUUUUGCAUUCACUUUUUCCAUAUGUUUUAUAUGUGAGCACUGCUGUCCUAAUGUCAAACCCAACCUCAGCAAGAUAAACUCAGUGUAUUGUAAUUUAAAAUGGGUGAGAUAAUGGCUUGCCCUGAAUACUAGCGCAAAGAAGCAGUAGCAUAAGACACCUCAUUCCCCUUGUGCCUGUGCACUUUACCACCAUUUCCUGCAACUGCACCAUCUUGAAACCAUUCUGCACCCUCUCCCCACCACAAUGUGCCCAGUGAUAUAGUUAUGCCAAUAUGUUGGGGUGAGUACGCUGUAACAGAUAUAGACACAGUGUAGUGUAGUUCCUCUUUGUAGGAGCAGGGAGACAGUGGCUCCCUGAGAAAAUAGGGUAGUUACUCCUGCUUCUUAUUCCACAUAUGAAGUCUUAAAACAUUGCUUGUGACAUCAGAUUUUCUUUACAGCUGCUAAUUGUCAUGUCCCAAAUAGGAAAUGAGCAGUGGGGACAGAUAAUAUUUAUAUAGAUGCUGUCAUUCAAGGAUCCUAAAGUGAAUUACAAAAGUGGAUAAUCUCAUUUUUUACAGAUGAGGAAACUGAAGGACAAAGAUUUAAGUGGCAGGGUCAGAAACAGAACCUACUCCCCAGAGUCCAAGUAUCCUGUUCUAACCACUAGACAACAGUGCUAUACACUAACUCUGAAUGAUCAUGUUUUAAUGUAAUAAUAAAAAUGGG